GAUGAACGCUAGCGGCAGGCUUAACACAUGCAAGUCGAGGGGCAUCACGGGUAGCAAUACCUGGUGGCGACCGGCGCAAGGGUGCGUAACGCGUGAGCAACAUGCCCUAUACAGGGGGAUAAUCCAGGGAAACUUGGUCUAAUAUCCCAUAGCAUUUAGAGGUGGCAUCACCAUUAAAUUAAAGCUUCGGUGGUAUAGGAUUGGCUCGCGUGACAUUAGCUAGAUGGUGGGGUAACGGCUCACCAUGGCUAUGAUGUCUAGGGGUUCUGAGAGGAAGACCCCCCACACUGGGACUGAGACACGGCCCAGACUCCUACGGGAGGCAGCAGUGAGGAAUAUUGGUCAAUGGGCGCAAGCCUGAACCAGCCAUCCCGCGUGCAGGAAGACGGCCCUAUGGGUUGUAAACUGCUUUUCCAGGGAGAGAAACUUACGCACGUGUUGCGUGACUGACGGUACCCUGGGAAUAAGCAUCGGCUAACUCCGUGCC
rnacentral:rRNA from 1 species